UACGGAGGGUGCAAGCGUUAUCCGGAUUUACUGGGUUUAAAGGGUGUGUUGGCGGACAUUUAAGUCAGGGGUGAAAUCCCGAGGCUCAACCUCGGAACUGCCUUUGAUACUAUUUGUCUUGAAUGUUGUUGAGGUGGGCGGAACGGGUCAUGUAGCGGUGAAAUGCAUAGAUAUGACCCGGAACACCGAUUGCGAAGGCAGCCCGCUAAGCAACUAUUGACGCUGAGGCACGAAAGCGUGGGGAUCAAACAGG
rnacentral:rRNA from 1 species